UCCGCAUUGGUCCAGUGGUCAGGAUCUCUGUCUUUCACACAGAUGGCCGGGGUUCGAUUCCCCGAUGCGGAA